GAUGAAGAACGCAGCGAAAUGAGAUAAGUAGUGUGAAUUGCAGAAUUCAGUGAAUCAUCGAAUCUUUGAACGCACAUUGCGCCCUUUGGUAUUCCUUAGGGCAUGCCUGUUCGAGCGUCAUUUAAACCUUCAAGCUAAGCUUGGUGUUGGGUGACUGUCCGCUUCACUGCGGACUCGCCUCAAAAUUAUUGGCGGCCGGUACAUUGGCUUCGAGCGCAGCAGAAACGCGAACUCGGGCCCGUCGUAUUGGCUCCCAGAAGCUAUCUUCACAAUUUUGACCUCGGAUCAGGCAGGGAUACCCGCUGAACUUAAGCAUAUCAAUAAGCGGAGGA
rnacentral:misc_RNA from 1 species